rnacentral:rRNA from 1 species
UACGGAGGGGACUAGCGUUGUUCGGAAUUACUGGGCGUAAAGCGCACGUAGGCGGAUUUGUAAGUCAGGGGUGAAAUCCCGGGGCUCAACCUCGGAACUGCCUUUGAUACUGCAAAUCUCGAGUCCGGAAGAGGUGAGUGGAAUUCCCGGUGUAGCGGUGAAAUGCGCAGAUAUCGGGAAGAACACCCGUGGCUAAGGCGGCUCUCUAGUACGGUACUGACGCUGAGACGCGAAAGCGUGGGGAGCGAACAGG